rnacentral:rRNA from 1 species
CUGCUGGAUCAGUGGCGAACGGGUGAGUAACACGUGAGCAAUCUGCCCCUGACUCUGGGAUAAGCGCUGGAAACGGCGUCUAAUACCGGAUACGAGCUGCGAAGGCAUCUUCAGCAGCUGGAAAGAAUUUCGGUCAGGGAUGAGCUCGCGGCCUAUCAGCUUGUUGGUGAGGUAACGGCUCACCAAGGCGUCGACGGGUAGCCGGCCUGAGAGGGUGACCGGCCACACUGGGACUGAGACACGGCCCAGACUCCUACGGGAGGCAGCAGUGGGGAAUAUUGCACAAUGGGCGAAAGCCUGAUGCAGCAACGCCGCGUGAGGGACGACGGCCUUCGGGUUGUAAACCUCUUUUAGCAGGGAAGAAGCGAAAGUGACGGUACCUGCAGAAAAAGCACCGGCUAACUACGUGCCAGCAGCCGCGGUAAUACGUAGGGUGCAAGCGUUAUCCGGAAUUAUUGGGCGUAAAGAGCUCGUAGGCGGUUUGUCGCGUCUGCUGUGAAAACUGGAGGCUCAACCUCCAGCCUGCAGUGGGUACGGGCAGACUAGAGUGCGGUAGGGGAGAUUGGAAUUCCUGGUGUAGCGGUGGAAUGCGCAGAUAUCAGGAGGAACACCGAUGGCGAAGGCAGAUCUCUGGGCCGUAACUGACGCUGAGGAGCGAAAGGGUGGGGAGCAAACAGGCUUAGAUACCCUGGUAGUCCACCCCGUAAACGUUGGGAACUAGUUGU